rnacentral:rRNA from 1 species
UAACUUAGUGGCGGACGGGUGAGUAACGCGUGAGAAUCUGCCUUCAGGACGGAGACAACAGUUGGAAACGACUGCUAAGCCCCGAUGAACCGAAAGGGAAAAUAUUUAUAGCCUGAAUAUGAGCUCGCGUCCGAUUAGCUAGUUGGCGGAGUAAAAGCCCACCAAGGCGACGAUCGGUAGCUGGUCUGAGAGGACGAUCAGCCACACUGGGACUGAGACACGGCCCAG